UCAUAUUCUAAGUACAAUUUCUGAUCCAAUCUCUCAGAUUAGGUAAUAUUUUCUCUAUGUGACUGACCCCACACAAGAUGCACCACCAUGAAUGACAAAUGAACUUCUUCAAGCAGAACUGCAACACAUGUCUACCAAGGGGUCUGUCUGUUCCUUCCUCAAAGGUGUUGACAGGAUCUUGUUAAGUUGCCCAGGCUGAUGCUCAUGAACUUCCCAUCUUCUUUCCUCAAACAUCAGAGUACCUGAAAUCACAGGUGUGCACCACCACAUCCAGCCAGACAGUGUUACUGCAUUUAAUUUUUGAUGGAUUUUGACUGAUUCAGGAUAACACAAUGUGAAGGGCUCAACCAUUUUAUGACUAUCAACUCUGUACAAAGAAUAAUGCUGACAUGCUAUGACAUAGAACUGGAAUGUGGGCACUAGUCACACUGGCCAGCAGCAACACACUCUGUGUUUUGUGGAUAAACAGAAGAUAUAUUAAAAAACAUAACAGUGAACAAAACAUGAGGAAGACAACACCACACUCACUGGUAAUAUGAAUAGUAUGUACUGUUAGAUAUUAAAAUUUAAUACAAAGACUCAAGAGCUACUCCAAAGCAAGAGAAAAAAGCCACACAUACCUC